rnacentral:rRNA from 1 species
GACGAACGCUGGCGGCGUGCUUAACACAUGCAAGUCGAACGGAAAGGCCCUGCUUUUGUGGGGUGCUCGAGUGGCGAACGGGUGAGUAACACGGGAGUAACCUGCCCUUGACUUUGGGAUAACUUCAGGAAACUGGGGCUAAUACCGGAUAGGAGCUCCUGCUGCAUGGUGGGGGUUGGAAAGCUUCGGCGGUUGGGGAUGGACUCGCGGCUUAUCAGCUUGUUGGUGGGGUAGUGGCUUACCAAGGCUUUGACGGGUAGCCGGCCUGGGAGGGUGACCGGCCACAUUGGGACUGAGGUACGGCCCAGACUCCUACGGGAGGCAGAAGUGGGGAAUAUUGCACAAUGGGCGGAAGCCUGAUGCAGCAGCGCCGCGUGCGGGAUGACGGCCUUCGGGUUGUAAACCGCUUUCGCCUGUGACGAAGCGUGAGUGACGGUAAUGGGUAAAGAAGCACCGGCUAACUACGUG